GAUGAACGCUGGCGGCGUGCCUAAUACAUGCAAGUCGAGCGAACGGACGAGAAGCUUGCUUCUCUGAUGUUAGCGGCGGACGGGUGAGUAACACGUGGAUAACCUACCUAUAAGACUGGGAUAACUUCGGGAAACCGGAGCUAAUACCGGAUAAUAUUUUGAACCGCAUGGUUCAAAAGUGAAAGACGGUCUUGCUGUCACUUAUAGAUGGAUCCGCGCUGCAUUAGCUAGUUGGUAAGGUAACGGCUUACCAAGGCAACGAUGCAUAGCCGACCUGAGAGGGUGAUCGGCCACAAUGGAACUGAGACACGGUCCAGACUCCGACGGGAGGCAGCAGUAGGGAAUCUUACGCAAUGGGCGAAAGCCUGACGGAGCAACGCCGCGUGAGUGAUGAAGGUCUUCGGAUCGUAAAACUCUGUUAUUAGGGAAGAACAUAUGUGUAAGUAACUGUGCACAUCUUGACGGUACCUAAUCAGAAAGCCACGGCUAACUACGUG
rnacentral:rRNA from 1 species